rnacentral:rRNA from 1 species
GACGAACGCUGGCGGCGUGCUUAACACAUGCAAGUCGAACGGAAAGGCCCUGCUUUCUUGGGGUGCCCGAGUGGCGAACGGGUGAGUAACACGUGAGCAACCGGCUCUUCAUUUUGGGAUAACUUCAGGAAACUGGGGCUAAUACCGUAUAGCAGCCCCCGUAGCAUUGUGGGGGUUGGAAAGUCGAGGCGGUUGGGGAUGGAUGCGCGGCUUACGGGUUUGUUGGUGGGGUAGUGGCUUACCAAGGCUUUGACGGAUAGCCGGCAUGAGAGGGUGACCGGCGACAUUGGGACUGAGGUACGGCCCAGAGUGCAACAGGAGGCAGCAGUGGGGAGUAUUGCACAAUGGGCGGAAGCCUGAUACAGCAGCGCCGGGUGCGGGAUGACGGCCUUCGGGUUGUGAACCGCUUUCGCCUGUGACGAAGCGUGAGUGACGGUAAUGGGUAAAGAAGCACCGGCUAACUACGUG